rnacentral:snRNA from 1 species
UUGAGUGCUCAUAUACACAAAAAUUGGAGCAAUAACAGAGAACAUUAGCAUGGCCCCUGUGCAAGGAUGACAUGCAAAUUUGUGAACCGUUCCAUAUUAAA